rnacentral:rRNA from 1 species
UUAUUUGAUAGGGUGCCCGUACCGUAAACCGACACAGGUGGAAUAGAUGAGUAUUCUAAGGCGCGUGGGUUAAAUCUCUCUAAGGAACUCGGCAAACUGACCCCGUAUGUUAGCUAUAAGGGGUGCCUCGCAAGAGGCCACAGAUAAGAGUGUCAACCGACUGUUUAGCAAAAACACAGCUCUCUGCUAAGUCGCAAGACGACGUAUAGGGAGUGACAUGUGACCAAUGCGGAAAGGUGAAAGCCUGGGGUGCAAGCUCCGGGUCUAAGCCCCCGUGAAUGUCGGCCGUAACUAUAACGGUCCUAAGGUAGCGAAAUUCCUUGUCGGGUAAGUUCCGACCCGCACGAAUCAUGUAACGAGUUGACAACUGUCUCGGAGAGAGGCCCAGUGAAAUUGUAGUGGCGGUGAAGAUGCCGCCUACCCGCAGCAGGACGGAAAGACCCUAUGCACCUUUACUGUAAGCUGUUAUUGUCGCUUGAUUUUUAAUACGUAGCAUAGCUGGGAGACUGCGAAGCCUGCCUUCAGGGGCGGGCCGAGUCGAAAUAUGAAAUACCAGUUUUUAAUUGUUAGGCGUCUAACCUCGACCCAUUAUCUGGGCGUGGGACAGUGAUAGCAGGUCAGUUUUUCUGGGGCGGAAUCCUCCCAAAGAGUAACGGAGGAUUACGAAGGUUCCCUCAGCCCGGUCGGUAAUCGGGCUAUAGAGCGCAUGAGUAUAAGGGAGCUUUACUGUGAGACCAACAAGUCGAGCAGUUGCGAAAGCAGGUUCAAGUGAUCCGGUGGUUGAAUGUGGAAUCGCCAUCGCUCAUAGGACAAAAGGUACGCUAGGGAUAACAGGCUGAUCGCGCCCAAGCGUUCACAGCGACGGCGCGGUUUGGCACCUCGAUGUCGGCUCAUCACAUCCUGGGGCUGGAGAAGGUCCCAAGGGUCCGGCUGUUCGCCGGUUAAAGUGGUACGCGAGCUGGGUUCAGAACGUCGUGAGACAGCUCGGUCCUCUAUCCGCUGUGGGCGUUUGUGAUUUGAGGGGUUCAUUCUCUAGUACGAGAGGACCGAGAAUGACGCACCGCUGGUGUUCCGGUUGUCACGUCAGUGGCAGCGCCGGGUAGCUAUGUGCGGAAGAGAUAAGCGCUGAAAGCAUCUAAGCGCCAAGCUCCUCCCAAGAUAAGAUCACAAUCCGCCGCAAGACGGUGCAAGGUCCGGGUAGACCACCCGGUUGAUAGGACAGAAGUGCAAGCGUAGUAAUACGUUCAGCUUACUGUUACUAAUGACCUUAAAAG